ACUGCCGUAAUGGCCAUAGCAGAAGCACUUAUGUCACGGCCCUGUCAGAUUCUAACAAAUCUGCAAAUUCUGCU
rnacentral:ribozyme from 1 species